AGAGAGAGGAAGGGAGAGGGUAAGAUAGAAGGGGAGGGAGAGAGGGAGAGGGAGGGGGAGGGAGAGAGGGAGGGAGAGAGGGAGGGAGAGAGGGAGGGAGAGGGUGAGAUAGAAGGGGAGAGAGGAGGGGAGACAGGGAGAGGGAGGGAGGGAGAGAAAGAGCAGGCUUUGGGGUGGCUUAAGUCAUGAUGGGUGAGAGGUGUGGCACUGGCCUCACAGUGUCACUGUCAGGCCAGGUGAGCCUCCAGGGGAUAUGCAGCCCCUGUGACACUGACCUCAGCUGCACAGCAAGCCCUUCAACCCCCAAACCAGCAAGCGAAUAAGGUGGAGCUGUUUUAAGGGAACAACCCCAUUUGUUCCAGCCCAGCAACUGCAAUCAGGUCCUUGUUCCCCAGAGGCAUUGGGAAGCCCCUGGAAAACGAUGAGGCUGGGGUUGAGGGCCUGAUACUGCUUCCUGCAGUCUCCUUCUUUCUUACAGGACCUGGAGGCAUUGAGAGGGUCCAGGGUGAAUACAGAAUUUCCCCCUAUCAAGUAAGAAAAAGCCAGUCCAAAGCUUUCAGUGACAAUCUUGAUGGCGUCAAGUCCUAACACUCUUCAGUGACCAAGGACUUUCCUUGGGUAUAUCCCCUAACUGCGGCCAUCCUUUCAUUGAAAGUUGGGUCUCUGCGGUCCUCGAGACACACAGCCUCCGCGGGUCACCUGCUGAGUGACAAGAGUGUCACUUUAUGUACAAGCAGAGGGAGGCCGACUCUCAGGAACAAACGACAACAACCAUAGAAAUGGACAAGGGAGCACUUGGAGGUACGGUGACGUCAGAGAGGACGGCAGUCCGGCUCCGCUCCCCCUUCCCCGUGAGGGGCCCGGCCUCCCCGCGGCCCG
ensembl:lncRNA